GGCCCAGACUCCUACGGGAGGCAGCAGUGGGGAAUAUUGCACAAUGGACGCAAGUCUGAUGCAGCGACGCCGCGUGGGGGAUGAAGGCUUUCGGGUUGUAAACUCCUUUCAGUACAGAAGAAGCAUUUUUGUGACGGUAUGUGCAGAAGAAGCGCCGGCUAACUACGUGCCAGCAGCCGCGGUAAUACGUAGGGCGCGAGCGUUGUCCGGAAUUAUU
rnacentral:rRNA from 1 species